AAAUCAUGUUGAGGAUAAUUUCUUAAAAGACCUUUGUAUCUUUCCUAAGCCUCGUAUAAGGAUUCUCCAUCUUGUUAAAAAUCAACAAUCACUUUCUUGAGUUU